rnacentral:rRNA from 1 species
UACAGGGGGUGCAAACGUUGCUCGGAAUUAUUGGGCGUAAAGCGCGCGUAGGCGGCCACUUAAGUCGGAUGUGAAAGCCCCUGGCUCAACUGGGGAAGUGCACCCGAAACUGAAUGGCUUGAGUGCGAAAGAGGGUCGCGGAAUUCCCGGUGUAGAGGUGAAAUGCGUAGAUAUCGAGAGGAACACCUGCGGCGAAGGCGGGUUGCUGGGCCGACACUGACGCUGAAGCGCGAAAGCCAGGGGAGCGAACGGG